rnacentral:rRNA from 1 species
GUGCCAGCCGCCGCGGUAAUACCGGCAGCCCGAGUGAUGGCCGAUCUUAUUGGGCCUAAAGCGUCCGUAGCUGGCCGCGCAAGUCCAUCGGGAAAUCCACCUGCUCAACAGGUGGGCGCCCGGUGGAAACUGUGUGGCUUGGGACCGGAAGACCCGAAGGGUACGUCUUGGGUAGGAGUGAAAUCCUGUAAUCCUGGACGGACCGCCGAUGGCGAAAGCACUUCGGGAAGACGGAUCCGACGGUGAGGAACGAAAGCCAGGGUCUCGAACCGGAUUAGAAACCCGGGUAGUCC